UCCCUGGAAGUCCAGUGGCUAAGACUCCACGCUCACAAUGCUGGGGACUCAGGUUCGAUCCCCGGUCAGAGAACUA
rnacentral:tRNA from 1 species